rnacentral:rRNA from 1 species
CACGUAGGGGGCUAGCGUUGUCCGGAAUCAUUGGGCGUAAAGCGCGUGUAGGCGGCCAGAUAAGUCCGGUGUGAAAGUCAAAGGCUCAACCUUUGAAUGCCGCUGGAAACUGUCUGGCUAGAGUCCGGAAGGGGAGAGUGGAACUCCUGGUGUAGCGGUGAAAUGCGCAGAUAUCAGGAAGAACACCUAUGGCGAAGGCAGCUCGCUGGGACGGUACUGACGCUGAGACGCGAAAGCGUGGGGAGCGAACAGG